rnacentral:rRNA from 1 species
UACAGAGGGUGCGAGCGUUAAUCGGAAUUACUGGGCGUAAAGCGUGCGUAGACGGUUAUUUAAGUCGGAUGUGAAAGCCCCGGGCUCAACCUGGGAAUUGCAUUCGAGACUGAAUAGCUAGGGUGCGGUAGAGGGAAGCGGAAUUUCCGGUGUAGCGGUGAAAUGCGUAGAUAUCGGAAGGAACAUCAGUGGCGAAAGCGGCUUCCUGGACCGACACUGACGCUGAGGCGCGAAAGCUAGGGGAGCAAACGGG